GGACGCGGGAAGGAUGGGCGCGACUGCUCCCCGCUGGGGACGCUGUGGGGUUUGCACCUUGAAUGAAUCGUUAAAAGGAAAACUUGGUGCUGUGUACAGGCUGCAGAGAACAGUUAGCAGCCUCUGAGGACUUGCAAGUGGAAGGCCAUUUCAUGUCUCUAAAAUGUUGACAUUUUGUUCACCAUGGAUGUGCUGCAUUAAUUCAUUUUUUCGUAUUGCCUGGAAGUAUUAUGUGUCUUGAUGACUCAGAUGUGAGUCCUUCUUAAACUCUGUGCCUGAGGGAAGUACUCUCCCUUCUGCUAACCCAGGAAAGAGCUUUUGAAUGAGUGUUGUGAUCUUCAAGGGCUGAAAACCUAGCAUUAUUCACUGUGGCCAACGCAUGGAGACCACCAAGGUGUCCUUCAAUAGAGAAUUGGUGAAAGAAGACGUGGAACAUAGACACCAUGGAAUACUAAUAAGAAAAGAUGAAAUACUGAAAUUUGGGACAACCUGGCUGGAUCCUGAGAAUAUUAUGCUACAUGAAAUAAGUGACGCAGAAAAAGCUGAGCACCAUGUGAUCUCAUAUGUGGGAUGUCAAACUAAACUCAUGGACACAAACAGUAGUGUGGUGGUUGCCAGAGGGGAGUGUGCGGAAGGGUGGGGAGUGAAAGGGGACUUAUAGUGACAGAAGAGGAUUUGACUUUGGCGGGUGUGCGUACAGUACAAUAUACAGAUCUUGUAACAAAUCCACACCUGAUCCUAUAUGACCCUAUGAAUCAGUGUCUCCCCAAGACAUUUUUUAAACAAAAGAAAGAGAAAAAUAAAUAAAUAAACCCUUAAAUCACUCACGGGGUAUUGCAGAGAAUGUUCCCACGUGGCUUUAUGUCAGGUAGAAAUGACAAAACCCAAUUUAUACGGAGUAUCUGGGGUUAUAGAGAUACAGGGUUAGAACUCCAUUAGGCGCUACAGUAUUUUAUCUUAGAUCCUUGUGAUGAUUAAUUUUAUGUUUCAAUUGGAUUGGAUUAUGAGCUGCCCAGCUACUUGGUCGAACUUUCUGAAUGUGUCUGUGAGGGUGUUUUGGUCUGACAUAGACAAUUAAGUAGAUGGACUGAGAAAAGCUAUUGUUGUCCCUAAUAUGAAUCCACCUCACCUACCAUUUGAAGGCCUUGAAUAGAACAUAAUGGCUGACCUUGUAAUAAGAAAACAAUAAUUUAGCUAAAUUCAAUGUAACAAAACUUAUAGCAAAAGGGAGGAUGAAGGGCACAGUAGGAGUAGAGAGAGAGCACAAGCUGUUUCCCUGGCUGGGGGAUGAAGGAGAGUAACUUCUGUCCCAUGGCCAACCUUCAGCUCUGCAGAAUGAGCCACAUGAUUAUUGUUUCAUUUUUUCCCAGAUGUAAUCAGUUGGGAACAAGGAAUGGCAAUCAUACCAAUCAACUCACAAAAGACUCACUUUAAGAACACCCAAUUACUAAUACUCUCUAGCAAAAUAAUGGAUGUUACUCAUUUUCACUGUGCAUUUCAUAUGAUUAGUGAAUCCAUUCAGCACCUUGUGUCAUCUACUAGGAAAUAUCAUUACUGUUCAGGAUGACAUAGAGGUGGGCGAUGUCUCUCCGUGGUUAGUGUUGAGCCACCCGUGGAAAGGUCAAGAGUUUGCUUCCAGCUGAAGGGCAUGUACCUAGGUUGCAAGUUCAGUCCCGGACUAGUCAGCUGCAAGCAGAACCCAAUCAAUAUAUGUCUCUCACAUUGAUAUUGUUCUCUGUCUCCCUUCCUUUGUCUCUGAAAACCACUUUAAAUAAUAAAUAUAAGAAUGACAUUACUGAGCACCUCCUAAGGUCUAGGCACUAUUCUAAGCAUAUUAAUUCAUAGUUCAUUCCUUUGAACACUUCUUUGAAUAUGUGCAUGUAUAAAAAGGUGUUUCUCAAGCACCUUCAUGUGCCAGUCUGUUCUUCUAACUUUAGUACAUGAGUUAACAAAUUGGCAGAUGUGGUUCCUUUCAUUAUCCCUUUUUUAUGAAGAAGAAGACGAAGCCACAGGGAGAUUAGCUUUCCCAAGUUCCUAACAAUCCUUGAGAAUCAAGGACAGUGAUGGCGAACCUAUGACACGCGCGUCAGAGGUGACACGUGAACUCAUUUUUUUGGUUGAUUUUUCUUUGUUAAAUGGCAUUUAAA